rnacentral:misc_RNA from 1 species
UGGUUCCCGCAUCGAUGAAGAACGCAGCGAAACGCGAUAGUUAAUGUGAAUUGCAGAAUUCAGUGAAUCAUCGAGUCUUUGAACGCACAUUGCGCCUUUUGGUAUUCCGAGAGGCACGCCUGUCUGAGCGUCAGCAAAACCCUUCGGCCGUCAAUUUUAUCAUUGCGGCCGGCUUUGGCGCGGGCGACGUCUCCCUUGGGAGGCCCCCGCGCUUAAACCCAAUGGCGGGGCGAACGGUUUGGCCGCAGCAAUAGUAGAAAUAUCUUUGCUCCCGCGCCAUCCUGAGCCGCCACCGGCCACACAAUGACCAUCAAAUUUUUGACCUCAGAUCAGACGAGGAUACCCGCUGA